UGUAGGGUUAACUCCUGGUCCCGCACCUACGCAACCUGAGGCCGUCAGAGCCUCGGCGGCGCUGCAGCUCCCUCAGACGGAGCUGUUCCCGCUUAGACGGCUGGGCACGUCGCCUCCAGGCCUGGGUGCCAGGAAGCCUUGGAGUGCCAGAGGAGAAGGGAGCAGGCAGGAGGUGGGAGAAGGGAGGGGACCAACGGGCGCGAGCCGUGCAAGAAGAUGGGGCACGGGCGGGAGAGGGGGCGGCAGAGACGUUAAGACUGGCAACGCGGGCGAGGCCAGCAGUCAGGGGGACAAGUAGUGCGAGAGCAGAAGAGCGGGAGACGCUGGCGCGAGCGAGGCUUCUGUAGGCUCCUGAGUUUGCUAUGCAUACCCUGGAGCAUGCAAGGGACAUGGAGGGACAGGAAAGAAGAAGGUAUCUGAGGAGGCUGAAGCCAGUGCUCAUCUGCGAAGUGCAGUUGUGUGGGAACCAGGGCAAACACUGCUCUAGGGGGCCAUGGAUGAAGCUGGAAACCAUCAUUCUCAGCAAACUGACCCAAGAACAGAAAACGAAACACUGCAUGUUCUCACUCGUGAGUAUUGAACAAUGAGAAAACAUGGACACAGGGAGGGGAACAUCACACACUGG
rnacentral:lncRNA from 13 species